rnacentral:rRNA from 1 species
GUGCAGCAGGCGCGAAUACUUUACAAUGUGCGAAAGCACGAUAAGGGAACUCUGAGUGCCUCCUAAGGAGGCUGUUCAGGUGUCUAAAAGCACCUGAAGGAAGGGCUGGGUAAGACCGGUGCCAGCCGCCGCGGUAACACCGGCAGCCCAAGUGGUAGCCACGUUUAUUGGGUCUAAAGCGUCCGUAGCCGGCUGGGUAAGUUCCUUGGGAAAUUUGGCUGCUUAACAGUCAAGCUUUCAGGGAAUACUGCCCGGCUUGGGACCGGGAGAGGUCAGAGGUACUCCAGGGGUAGGGGUGAAAUCCAUUAAUCCUUGGGGGACCACCGGUAGCGAAGGCGUCUGACCAGACCGGGUCCGACGGUGAGGGACGAAGGCUAGGGGCGCGAACCGGAUUAGAUACCCGCGU